rnacentral:rRNA from 1 species
CAAGUCGAGCGAACGGACGAGAAGCUUGCUUCUCUGAUGUUAGCGGCGGACGGGUGAGUAACACGUGGAUAACCUACCUAUAAGACUGGGAUAACUUCGGGAAACCGGAGCUAAUACCGGAUAAUAUUUUGAACCGCAUGGUUCAAAAGUGAAAGACGGUCUUGCUGUCACUUAUAGAUGGAUCCGCGCUGCAUUAGCUAGUUGGUAAGGUAACGGCUUACCAAGGCAACGAUGCAUAGCCGACCUGAGAGGGUGAUCGGCCACACUGGAACUGAGACACGGUCCAGACUCCUACGGGAGGCAGCAGUAGGGAAUCUUCCGCAAUGGGCGGAAGCCUGACGGAGCAACGCCGCGUGAGUGAUGAAGGUCUUCGGAUCGUAAAACUCUGUUAUUAGGGAAGAACAUAUGUGUAAGUAACUGUGCACAUCUUGACGGUACCUAAUCAGAAAGCCACGGCUAACUACGUGCCAGCAGCCGCGGUAAUACGUAGGUGGCAAGCGUUAUCCGGAAUUAUUGGGCGUAAAGCGCGCGUAGGCGGUUUUUUAAGUCUGAUGUGAAAGCCCACGGCUCAACCGUGGAGGGUCAUUGGAAACUGGAAAACUUGAGUGCAGAAGAGGAAAGUGGAAUUCCAUGUGUAGCGGUGAAAUGCGCAGAGAUAUGGAGGAACACCAGUGGCGAAGGCGACUUUCUGGUCUGUAACUGACGCUGAUGUGCGAAAGC